ACAUGCAAGUCGAGCGGAGUUGAUAGGAAGCUUGCUUCUUUGAUACUUAGCGGCGGACGGGUGAGUAACACGUAGGCAACCUGCCCUCAAGUUUGGGACAACUACCGGAAACGGUAGCUAAUACCGAAUAGUUGUUUUCUUCGCCUGAAGGAAACUGGAAAGACGGAGCAAUCUGUCACUUGGGGAUGGGCCUGCGGCGCAUUAGCUAGUUGGUGGGGUAACGGCUCACCAAGGCGACGAUGCGUAGCCGACCUGAGAGGGUGAUCGGCCACACUGGGACUGAGACACGGCCCAGACUCCUACGGGAGGCAGCAGUAGGGAAUCUUCCGCAAUGGGCGAAAGCCUGACGGAGCAAUGCCGCGUGAGUGAUGAAGGUUUUCGGAUCGUAAAGCUCUGUUGCCAGGGAAGAACGCUUGGGAGAGUAACUGCUCUCAAGGUGACGGUACCUGAGAAGAAAGCCCCGGCUAACUACGUGCCAGCAGCCGCGGUAAUACGUAGGGGGCAAGCGUUGUCCGGAAUUAUUGGGCGUAAAGCGCGCGCAGGCGGUCAUUUAAGUCUGGUGUUUAAUCCCGGGGCUCAACCCCGGAUCGCACUGGAAACUGGGUGACUUGAGUGCAGAAGAGGAGAGUGGAAUUCCACGUGUAGCGGUGAAAUGCGUAGAUAUGUGGAGGAACACCAGUGGCGAAGGCGACUCUCUGGGCUGUAACUGACGCUGAGGCGCGAAAGCGUGGGGAGCAAACAGGAUUAGA
rnacentral:rRNA from 1 species